rnacentral:snoRNA from 1 species
AACCCAUGGUGAGGGCACCUUUUCAAUAGAUCCUUAUAUCUCUUCCAUGCAUCGUAGAGUGUUUCUAGAUCCAUCUGCAUGAAAGAGGAGAUAUCAUUACGUAAUUU